UACGGGGGGAGCAAGCGUUGUUCGGAUUUACUGGGCGUAAAGGGCGCGUAGGCGGCCAGCACAAGUCAGUUGUGAAAUCUCCGAGCUUAACUCGGAAAGGUCAACUGAUACUGUGCGGCUAGAGUGCGGAAGGGGCAACUGGAAUUCCUGGUGUAGCGGUGAAAUGCGCAGAUAUCAGGAGGAACACCAAUGGCGAAGGCAGCUCGCUGGAACGGUACUGACGCUGAGGCGCGAAAGCGUGGGGAGCAAACAGG
rnacentral:rRNA from 1 species